rnacentral:lncRNA from 1 species
GACAGAGGGAGGGAGAGAGAGAGAGAGAGAGAGAGAGAGAGAGAGAAGCAGAGGGAGAAGCAGGCUCCCAAGGAGCAGGGAGCCCGAUGCGGGACUCGAUCCCAGGACACUGGGAUCAUGACCUGAGCUGAAGGCAGACGCUUAACGACUGAGCCACCCAGGCGCCCUGACUUUGGAGAUUCUAGGCGAAUGGCACUGGCGGAUGAGGAGUGUCUGCAGAAACCUGGACGUUCUGCCUAGAACAUUCGCUGUGGCGUAGAGAAGAGAGUGAGAAAAUGAUGAAAGCAACCAGGGCCGGGGCCCGGCGUCCAGCCUUCUCCUCAGGGGGCAGAAAGCCACAAACCUCACAGCCCGGCGCCCCAGACAAGCAGGGAGUGGGGAGACAAACCCGUGGCCGCCUCUGCCGAGAUGGUCUGGAGUUUCCCGCUUUCACCUGAUGUGGCUUGGCAGUAAACUGGUACAGUAAAUCCUCCCAUUUCAGAUGGCGUUGGGCGGUGGGGUUACCACCGUGAAUUAAUCAAGCCACCUUACAGAAGCCCGGUGGUGAACCCAAAGUAAGCUCCGACAAGGUGUUUGUAAGGGGCCACCGUGCUGGGCCUGCACUCCAAGCUAAAACUGACUCAUCUCCCAACCGACAUUUGCAAAGAACGCGGCAGAGAAGCCUUGAAGAACAAGAGCGUUCUGGCAGAAGGUGGAGAUGAACCUUUUCCUCCUAAGACCUUGUUUACACAAAUCUGUUUUUAGCAAACCUCUUCUCCAGGGAGCAAGGGUAAAGUCCCCCUGCAAAGAGGCUGAAGCAUGAAGAGUCCGAUCAAUGAGGUGCCAUCAACGAGGCUCAGCGGGGCCACACAUGGCGGUGCCACCAGGGACACUGCUGCUGGACGCCCCGAGGACGCCUGAGAACAGACCCGCUUGCGACAGAAAGAAAGAGGAAAAGGGGAGGGGCUAACAGGGUACCCAAAGGCAGACAAGUGCGCACACACCACAACCACCCAAGGUCAUAUUCGGGUGGCUCUUGUACUUGAUCUCUUUCUCCCGAUGGCCAGAAGAACCAUCAGUGCGACUUGUACUUGUGGGCAAUCUUUAUAGACUGUUGUCUGUUGUUGAUUUCAGAGAGAAGGAGUGAUGGUUCUGGAAACGUGGCCCCUUUUCUGAUGAGACAGAAUGGGCUGUUAAUGAAACCUGCUGGGAGUCACAAUCUCCAAGGCCUUCUUCCGCCCACAGCCGACUUCAGAGCCUCGGCCAGCCAAGAGCAGAGCACACGGAGACAAGCUCACAGAAACCUCUGAAUCUUUCUGGUUGGGAAACGAGGAAGGAGACAGAACCAUGGCGGUCCUGUUGGUCGUGUAGAGCAGGGAACACAGGAAGAAAUGAGGCGGCUGAAUUCGUGGCCUCGUUCACCACCAAAUGACUGUGCCAAUGGAAACCCAUCAUCUCUGUACCCAACUGUCAUUCCAGACAAGGAAACCCAUGCAGGUGCCAUC